CUACGGGAGGCACCAGUGGGGAAUAUUGGACAAUGGGGGAAACCCUGAUCCAGCAAUGCCGCGUGUGUGAAGAAGGCCUGCGGGUUGUAAAGCACUUUCGGUUGGGAGGACUGCUUCUAGCACUAAUAUUGUUGGAAGUUGACGUUACCUUCAGAAGAAGCACCGGCUAACUCCGUGCCAGCAGCCGCGGUAAUACGGAGGGGUGCAAGCGUUCAUCGGAAUUACUGGGCGUAAAGCGCGCGUAGGCGGCUAGAUCAGUCGGGUGUGAAAGCCCCGGGCUUAACCUGGGAACUGCAUCCGAUACUGUCUAGCUUGAGUACAGGAGAGGAGAGUGGAAUUCCACAUGUAGCGGUGAAAUGCGUAGAUAUGUGGAGGAACACCAAUGGCGAAGGCAGCUCUCUGGCCUGAUACUGACGCUGAGGUGCGAAAGCGUGGGGAGCAAACAGGAUUAGAUACCCUAGUAGUC
rnacentral:rRNA from 1 species